CCUUUUUAUUUGUUUGCGUUGUCGACAUAUACGUUCUUGCAGGUAUACGGACGGGCAUUUGGACUAGUGUGACUGGACGCAAUGAAGAACUGCGUAUGGAGCAGUGUCAUCAUUUGGGCCGUAGUGGCGCUUCUUCUGCCCACAUUAGAAAAGCGAGAUUCCUUUUCUGCCAUCGCUCUCGUUUAUAUGGGGCCAAGUGCGGGACAUGGCCACAGACCUGGUGCUGGAAGCCAUGGUAAAGGAGCGUCAAAUCAUAAUACCUCAUCAAAACAUGGAGGAGUACCAAGCCGCAAACCUGAAAAACAUAGAAAUAAUGGAAGCAAGGCCGGAGGAAAGAAUCUGUUGAGCAGAAUGAAAAGAAAUGCUCCGUCGAUUUCCAAGGCCCUGGCUGUGCUUGUGUAAAUACAAAAAAUAAAUUAAAAUUACGAACCAUUUAGGUGGAAUGCGAAGAAAUAAUCUCCAAGCGACGACAAACAACUUUACCUUGGUUCUGUUCAGCUACGUGGCAUGUGGAUAUUUUUAAAUCAUGGAGCAUGAUAAUGAGGGCACCCUGUAUAAGUCCU